UUGAACUGAAGAGUUUGAUCAUGGCUCAGAUUGAACGCUGGCGGCAGGCCUAACACAUGCAAGUCGAGCGGCAGCACGGGUACUUGUCCCUGGUGGCGAGCGGCGGACGGGUGAGUAAGGCCUAGGAAUCUGCCUGGUAGUGGGGGAUAACGCUCG
rnacentral:rRNA from 1 species